UACGGGGGGGGCAAGCGUUGUUCGGAAUUACUGGGCGUAAAGGGCUCGUAGGCGGCCAACUAAGUCGGAUGUGAAAUCCCCAGGCUCAACUUGGGAACUGCAUCCGAUACUGGAUGGCUUGAAUUCGGGAGAGGGAUGCAGAAUUCCAGGUGUAGCGGUGAAAUGCGUAGAUAUCUGGAGGAAUACCGGUGGCGAAAGCGCUCAUCUGGCCCGAUACUGACGCUGAGGCGCGAAAGCUAGGGGAGCAAACGGG
rnacentral:rRNA from 1 species